rnacentral:rRNA from 1 species
ACACGUGGGCAAUCUGCCCUGCACUUCGGGACAAGCCCUGGAAACGGGGUCUAAUACCGGAUAUGACCACCGGCCGCAUGGUCUGGUGGUGGAAAGCUCCGGCGGUGCAGGAUGAGCCCGCGGCCUAUCAGCUUGUUGGUGGGGUGAUGGCCUACCAAGGCGACGACGGGUAGCCGGCCUGAGAGGGCGACCGGCCACACUGGGACUGAGACACGGCCCAGACUCCUACGGGAGGCAGCAGUGGGGAAUAUUGCACAAUGGGCGCAAGCCUGAUGCAGCGACGCCGCGUGAGGGAUGACGGCCUUCGGGUUGUAAACCUCUUUCAGCAGGGAAGAAGCGCAAGUGACGGUACCUGCAGAAGAAGCACCGGCUAACUACGUGCCAGCAGCCGCGGUAAUACGUAGGGUGCGAGCGUUGUCCGGAAUUAUUGGGCGUAAAGAGCUCGUAGGCGGCUUGUCGCGUCGGAUGUGAAAGCCCGGGGCUUAACCCCGGGUCUGCAUUCGAUACGGGCAGGCUGGAGUUCGGCAGGGGAGAUUGGAAUUCCUGGUGUAGCGGUGAAAUGCGCAGAUAUCAGGAGGAACACCGGUGGCGAAGGCGGAUCUCUGGGCCGAUACUGACGCUGAGGAGCGAAAGCGUGGGGAGCGAACAGGAUUAGAUACCCUGGUAGUCCACGCCGUAAACGUUGGGCACUAGGUGUGGGCGGCAUUCCACGUCGUCCGUGCCGCAGCUAACGCAUUAAGUGCCCCGCCUGGGGAG